ACUCCUACGGGAGGCAGCAGUGGGGAAUCUUAGACAAUGGGGGCAACCCUGAUCUAGCCAUGCCGCGUGAGUGAUGAAGGCCUUAGGGUUGUAAAGCUCUUUCAGCUGGGAAGAUAAUGACGGUACCAGCAGAAGAAGCCCCGGCUAACUCCGUGCCAGCAGCCGCGGUAAU
rnacentral:rRNA from 2 species